rnacentral:rRNA from 1 species
GUGCCUAAUACAUGCAAGUCGAGCGAACAGAUAAGGAGCUUGCUCCUUUGACGUUAGCGGCGGACGGGUGAGUAACACGUGGGUAACCUACCUAUAAGACUGGGAUAACUUCGGGAAACCGGAGCUAAUACCGGAUAACAUUUGGAACCGCAUGGUUCUAAAGUGAAAGAUGGUUUUCUAUCACUUAUAGAUGGACCCGCGCCGUAUUAGCUAGUUGGUAAGGUAACGGCUUACCAAGGCGACGAUACGUAGCCGACCUGAGAGGGGAUCGGCCACACUGGAACUGAGACACGGUCCAGACUCCUACGGGAGGCAGCAGUAGGGAAUCUUCCGCAAUGGGCGAAAGCCUGACGGAGCAACGCCGCGUGAGUGAUGAAGGGUUUCGGCUCGUAAAACUCUGUUAUUAGGGAAGAACAAAUGUGUAAGUAACUGUGCACGUCUUGACGGUACCUAAU